rnacentral:lncRNA from 1 species
UUGAUUCAGGUUCCUAUGUUUGGGCUGCCACGACUUAUCUCUUGCACUUGAUCAGCAGCAUGAUAUUUGCAGACAAGAGCUUGGCUCAUGUUCAUGUCGCCUACCUCUAGUACCUUAGCAACUUGACUGCUUGCCAUAAGUAAGUAUAGGGAGUAGCAGCAUUGGUGUACCUCUACGACCAUCUAUCCUAUGUGAGUUUGGAUGACAACAAGCA